GUACCCAGGAUGCUGGUGAAGGACAGUGUUCUAAAGGUAUGCCUAUGCUAGCAAGUGUACACGUGCCAUAACCCCCAUAUUGUCCACUCUUAAACCCUAAAAGCAGGUGUCUCAAGGUGAGCAGAGGGCAAGUAUUCUAGCAUGUCUGAGGGGUGUGGGUAAGUACACACCUUAGCUUUGAUAUGGCCCCAUAGCUGUGCCAGUUUGCAGUGUGAUCAGGAGUAAAGGGCAUGUACCAGGUCUCAAGUGUCAAUACUCCUCCACCCCCAUUGCUACAAUACUCCUCCACCCCCCUUUGUUCCUGACCCUUACGCAAUCUCCUGUGCACUGGUAGUGGCAUGCUGCACUGACCACAGCAGAACAGUUUUACACUGCAGUCCUCAAUCCCACCAGCCUCAUUGUCUGACGAUGCCUAUGAAGACCAGGGUGAGGAGGCAGCAGGGACCAUGGAGGAUGUCUCAGAAGACCCAGAGCAUGUGAUUCUGUACCUUUAUCUGGAACAGUUGGUUGAAGAAGCCUCCCAUUAUGAACCCAAGGAGGACCCCAAGCCGUGGCAGGAACCAGAACCUCAGACUGGUUUCCAGAAUGAUGUGAUCCCUCCACACCUUGCCGGUGUCACGGAGUUUGGGAGAGACAAGGCCCUGCACCCCCGGCUUCCUGCGAUUCAGCCAUUCUCUGUGCAGACAGCAUCACACCAGCCUCCUAGGGCUCUGCAACAAUCCCACACCCCUAGACACUCGAGAAAUGCAUAGGGGAAACUGAGGCAACCACACUGCACUCAGAGAAAACAUUAAGACCAUUCCCACUUCGUCACAUCCGGUUCUCCUGCUGCAGCAGUAACAGUCAACCAGAGGGCAUACCCUAACAAUACAGGCAUUCACCAUAUAUACAGUGUGAGCUGAAUGAAUUUUCAUUGACCCUCAAGGUCAGCCAUCUUCAAUGUGUCCUAAAAUUCUGCCCAAAUUCUAUCCACUACUGCAUAACCAGUUAUCCCACUGUAUAGAGCAGGAGUAGAACUAGCUCGUCAUACAAUGGCUUGCUGUCUUCCACUGAGGUUUGUAGGGCAUGACAAUGAGAGGUAACAUGAUUAGGAGCUGCCAUCAGCAAAUGUGUGCAGGCAGGGGACACUACCAACAAAACACAGUGAAGUGGUUCCUAAAGUAUCUCCCUCUGCUACAGAAAAUCCUGGGAUACCGGCUUUGAAAUGGUGGCACUAUUAUCAUGUACCUACAGCAGCAGUGUGGAUGCACUGAUGUGUGUGUGUGUGUACAUGUGAUCAUACCAAUGUCCGGUAGGACUCUGGACUCUUGGGCACAAGUAUGGGGAGCACACACAAAAUCCAGUAGUCGGGUAUACACUCAAGUAUGGACACAGCCUAAGGUUGUGAAUAGACUGGGAUAGUGCUAGACUAGAACUGAUCAGAAAACAAAACUUCCAAGCUGGGAGAAAUUCUGACAUUUCAACAUCAGUUUUUAAACAUUUUCAUGUUCAGAAAAAUGUUGGUUUGCAAGUAUUGAAAUGAAAAAAACCCAACAUUUUUGAUUGAUGUGUAAUGUCAAUGUCAAUCAAAACAUUUUGCUUUGAAUUGUAAGUUUGGAAAACAAACAUUUCAGUAAGAUUGACAUUUUCCCAUGGAAAAUUUAGAUUUAGAUUAAAUUGUAUUUUCCAACGCAAAAAUGUUUCUUUGAAAAAUUUUGAUCGGCUCUAUGCUAGACUUUUCCUUUAUUGGGGACAGGAAUAUUAUAUGCUUCAUCCAAAAGACAACAGCAGGAGAGUGCCCCUUACAUUAUAGUGGCUCAUUUGGUUCAAUAUUGAUGCAAAUGGGAAAAUUACAUCUAAUGAAUCAUCAGUACCAUUUCCUGCAGUAGCUACAUUUUUCCUAGAGGCCUCCUUCCCACUAAUGCCCUGGUCCAGUGCUGCUUAGCUUCUGAGAGAUGGUGAGCUCUUAGCUUGAAAUGGUUCAGUUGCCGUGACAUAAUAAAUUUAGUUCUGGAGGUUCAGUUAGGCUCAAUAUACUGAUUAUUUAAAAAGAAAACUAAUUAUACUAUAAUAUCUGGAAGGAAACCUAAUAAGUUUUUCCACAAUAAAUUCUUUAAACACUGAUAAAGAUGUGACAAGGUUCUUGCUUAUUAUCACCUUUCAAAGAAAGCACAAAGAAGAGUAAUCACAAUCACACACACACAUAGGAAUUGCACAGGCAUUAAUCUCUCUCUCUCUCUCUCUCUCUCUCUCUCUCACACACACACACACACACACACACACACACACAGUGGAAUUGCACAGGCAUUAAAAGCUAUUCCAAUUUGGCACAGCAGUCCUUUUAUCAGUUUCAAGCAAGUACUAUCUACUCAUCUCAAUGUUGUGGGGGAUGGACAUUAAACUGAUGUUUUUCUAAAGUA